rnacentral:rRNA from 1 species
GAUGAACGCUAGCGGCAGGCUUAAUACAUGCAAGUUGAGGGGCAGCAUGAUAUACGCGAGUAUAUUGAUGGCGACCGGCGGACGGGUGAGUAAUAGGUAGGAGACCUACCUCAUACAGGGGGAUAGCAUAGAGAAAUCUGUGGUAAUACCCCAUGAGGUUAUAUGAAUAGAGGCAUAUAAUCAAAGCAUAAGCGAUUAUGCGGUAUGAGAGGGGCCUACUGACCAUUAGCUAGUUGGUGAGGUAAGGGCUCACCAAGGCGAAGAUGGUUAGGGGUUUUGAGGAGAGAGACCCCCCACAUUGGAACUGAGAGACGGUCCAGACUCCUACGGGAGGCAGCAGUAGGGAAUAUUGGGCAAAUGGGCGAAAGCCUGACCCAGCCAUGCCGCGUGAAGGAAGACGGCCUUAUGGGGUUGUAAACUUCUUUACUACGCGAAUAGAGGUUAGUACGAGAUACUAAUAGGAAGGUAGUGUAGUAAAAAGCACCGGUAAACUCCGUG